UACGUAGGGUGCAAGCGUUGUCCGGAAUUAUUGGGCGUAAAGAGCUCGUAGGCGGCUUGUCGCGUCGGCUGUGAAAACCUGGGGCUCAACCCCGGGACUGCAGCCGAUACGGGCAAGCUAGAGUUCGGUAGGGGAGACUGGAAUUCCUGGUGUAGCGGUGAAAUGCGCAGAUAUCAGGAGGAACACCGGUGGCGAAGGCGGGUCUCUGGGACGGUACUGACGCUGAGACGCGAAAGCGUGGGGAGCGAACAGG
rnacentral:rRNA from 1 species